CUGUGUUCAUUGAUAAUCCCAUUUCUAGAAUUUGAAAUCCUUUGUGGGUUCAGAUACUGAUGCUUGAGCUUGGACUGAUCUUGACGUGCUGUUUCGUAGCCAUAAUAUACGAGUAUUAUAAGGGUAAGCGCCGCCUUUCCUUUUCAGUAGAAAAGGAAUAAAUGUUUAUCUUCAUCUUCUUCAAUGUCUUUAUAUAAGGUGAAACAGGC
rnacentral:lncRNA from 1 species